GAUGAACGCUGGCGGCGUGCCUAAUACAUGCAAGUCGAGCGAACGGACGAGAAGCUUGCUUCUCUGAUGUUAGCGGCGGACGGGUGAGUAACACGUGGAUAACCUACCUAUAAGACUGGGAUAACUUCGGGAAACCGGAGCUAAUACCGGAUAAUAUUUUGAACCGCAUGGUUCAAAAGUGAAAGACGGUCUUGCUGUCACUUAUAGAUGGAUCCGCGCUGCAUUAGCUAGUUGGUAAGGUAACGGCUUACCAAGGCAACGAUGCAUAGCCGACCUGAGAGGGUGAUCGGCCACACUGGAACUGAGACACGGUCCAGACUCCUACGGGAGGCAGCAGUAGGGAAUCAUCCGCAAUGGGCGAAAGCCUGACGGAGCAACGCCGCGUGAGUGAUAAAGGUCUUCGGAUCGUAAAACUCUGUUAUUAGGGAAGAACAUAUGUGUAAGUAACUGUGCACAUCUUGACGGUACCUAAUCAGAAAGCCACGGCUAACUACGUG
rnacentral:rRNA from 1 species